rnacentral:rRNA from 1 species
UGGGGAAUAUUGCACAAUGGGCGCAAGCCUGAUGCAGCCAUGCCGCGUGUAUGAAGAAGGCCUUCGGGUUGUAAAGUACUUUCAGCGGGGAGGAAGGGAGUAAAGUUAAUACCUUUGCUCAUUGACGUUCUCCGCAGAAGAAGCACCGGCUAACUCCGUGCCAGCAGCCGCGGUAAUACGGAGGGUGCAAGCGUUAAUCGGAAUUACUGGGCGUAAAGCGCACGCAGGCGGUUUGUUAAGUCAGAUGUGAAAUCCCCGGGCUCAACCUGGGAACUGCAUCUGAUACUGGCAAGCUUGAGUCUCGUAGAGGGAGGUAGAAUUCCAGGUGUAGCGGUGAAAUGCGUAGAGAUCUGGAGGAAUACCGGUGGCGAAGGCGGCCCCCUGGACGAAGACUGACGCUCAGGUGCGAAAGCGUGGGGAGCAAACAGG